rnacentral:tRNA from 1 species
AGGCAUGUAGCUCAGUAGUAGAGCCCCUGUUGGCUGGGCAGGUCCUGGGUUCGAAUCCCAGCCUGUCCA